rnacentral:rRNA from 1 species
UGGGGAUUACACUCCCAACCCAAUGUGAACGUUACCAAACUGUUGCCUCGGCGGGGUCACGCCCCGGGUGCGUAAAAGCCCCGGAACCAGGCGCCCGCCGGAGGAACCAACCAAACUCUUUCUGUAGUCCCCUCGCGGACGUAUUUCUUACAGCUCUGAGCAAAAAUUCAAAAUGAAUCAAAACUUUCAACAACGGAUCUCUUGGUUCUGGCAUCGAUGAAGAACGCAGCGAAAUGCGAUAAGUAAUGUGAAUUGCAGAAUUCAGUGAAUCAUCGAAUCUUUGAACGCACAUUGCGCCCGCCAGUAUUCUGGCGGGCAUGCCUGUCCGAGCGUCAUUUCAACCCUCGAACCCCUCCGGGGGAUCGGCGUUGGGGAUCGGGACCCCUCACCGGGUGCCGGCCCUGAAAUACAGUGGCGGUCUCGCCGCAGCCUCUCCUGCGCAGUAGUUUGCACAACUCGCACCGGGAGCGCGGCGCGUCCACGUCCGUAAAACACCCAACUUCUGAAAUGUUGACCUCGGAUCAGGUAGGAAUACCCGCUGAACUUAAGCAUAUCAAAG